rnacentral:sRNA from 1 species
AAUUGUUAGACCUAAGUUUUGUUUUAGUGAUUGAGAUACAUUUUGAAGGAAGAAUCCAAUCACUGUAGAGAGGAUUCUGAACUCCUUUUCCUUCUAUUCUAAUUCAUCAAUGCAAACUAUUCAGAUUAUGAUUUGUGUUUCUUUUAUCAUGUCUGAGUAAUCACCUUGUUGGGUUUAGGGAGUCUUAAUAGGGAUUUAGAUGGAUUAGUAGAUCGAAAAUUCCUUAGGAUUAUUCUUAGAGUUCUUCAUCUUCAUUAUUCUUAUUGCUAGUUUUACAUUGAUUACCUAGAACUUGAUAUUAAAUAAUAGGUAUGCCCACCAUAGGUACUUAUUGUUUGAACUAUUAUAGAUGAGCCUAGGCAUUUAAGAAAGAACAUGUAGGCUCAUAGAAGGGCAGAACAGGUGUAGGAUUUCUCGGCUUCUCCGGUUAUCUUAGCUCUAAGUAUAGAGAGUUUCGCAGAACACCACCGGUUACUGUAAAAUCAUAGUUUUAGUUUGAGAACGGUGCGAUAACAAUCCUAAUAUUAGCUAGAUCUACAAUAUAUCUAUUUCCCGAGACAAUUUCUUAGACCCGUUUACUUGCUUAUUUUUCUUUUACAUUCAUUUACUUUGUCUAGUUUAUUUAAAAACAUCAUAAGUCUAUCGUGUGAACAUAGAGAGCUCAGUGAAAUUUGACCCUUAAGUGCUAACGACGAUUUCUUAUUUGAGAGAGUAAGCUUAAGGCAAUUUGAGCUAUACAAC